CGAGUCCUUGCGUAGGUGAUUAGGACACAUCUAAGUACACAGUGUUAGUAGUGUCAGUCUCUGUAAGAUCUGAGUACCGCGAAAAGCAAUUUUCCAGUGUCGUGUCUUACUUGGCGCUUGUUUUAAUUGAGAAAUUGUAAAUCGUAGGUCCACAGAGUCCUUGUGAGCGGACGGAUAUCAGGAUGGCAAUAGUAGCCGAUCACCUGGGACUUAGUUGGACAGAGCUGGCAAGGGAACUGAAUUUUUCAGUGGAUGAAAUCAACCAAAUACGAGUGGAAAAUCCCAAUUCUUUAAUUUCUCAGAGCUUCAUGUUAUUAAAAAAGUGGGUGACGAGAGACGGGAAGAAUGCCACAACUGAUGCCUUAACUUCGGUCUUAACAAAAAUUAACCGAAUA
rnacentral:lncRNA from 1 species